GGGGGCCAUAGAGGGCGUACGCCCCCUUUUUGCUUGGACUUUUUUUUUUUUUUUUUUGUAAAGUUUAAUCAGACAAGACUUCGUGAACUUUGAUAUCCCCGUGUAUUUAGUUUUUAUGUGGCAAUUCUUUACUUAUAAAGAUAUUUUUCGCUCGUAUUUACUGUUAUAUAUUAUUGGUUAUGCCAAAGUCCUCUGAUUCGCUACGGUGGAGUAAACCAGUGCGUCAAAAAAACGUCACUAUGUCAAUUUGAAAAUCAAAUUACAGUAACAAAUUGCUUAUGCUGAGGGUGACAAGAAUGACACCUUCAAAGUGACAAGGAUUGAGCAAGAACGUACUGACUUCUAUUUCACAAUUCCACCAAACAGAAAGUAAUACUCUAUUAUAAUGUCAGGAACAAAAAAGUUCCACAGCAAUAUUAUUUACACGGUCAAGCCUAUUAAUAAGAUAGCUGAAUAAUGAUCCUCUGUCAGUCAGCUUAAGAUCUAAGGUACGGACCAUUUGAUUUGAGGGGGCAGUCUGAGAUGUAUGAGAGGAAAAGUUCUGACACUCUUUUUGCCUUAAACAAAAAAUCUUGUCGUAUCAGGAUUGAAAACAAUAAUCUUGUCCACUUUUUUGCCAUUUGAAACCAAAAUUUCCAACAGAUUUUUUUUAGAAUUAAAUGAACAUGAUGAUUAAUAAACGGGCGUAAUUUUUUGGUGGCCGGGGUUUUGCAUGUAAAUCCCAUAUCUGAACGAAAUGUCUGUUUCGCCGAACUGAUUUAUUGAAUACUUUGUUCAAGGCCCGACUGCAUACUGCUGAGUGUUGCCUUAAUGUCUCCAUUUUUCGACCGUCAUUCAUAAAUUCGUUGUCAUUUCAGACUCAUUCGUAGCCUUUGGUUGAUUUGGAACCCCUCACUUUCCUUGUUGGCGGAAACAUUUCUACCAAACAUUUGGAUAAAAAUUGUCUGUUUGUUUCUUAACUCGUGUCGGUCGUAUUGUAAAUUUCAUCGAAUAGCCCGGCGUAUAUCUUGAUACUAACUAAACAUACAACAAACGAGAAUUUUCCAUGUCCAUUUUUGACUGGCAAGUCUCGUGACAUCAAAUAUAUUAGUCCACAGCUUUGGAUCAUCCCAUCAUUUCAUAAUAGACAAUUAAUGUGGAGAAUACGGCAUAAAAAAUGUCCAACCCUUACACUUUACAGCAACUAUAAAAUAUACAUGCCCAAAGUCAAGAACCGUUUAAAAAGUGCAUUUUACACUUAUUUUAUGUUUUUAUUCUAAAAAAGGUCCCAAUAAUUUUUCGCCUCGCUUCGCUCGGCGAUUUCAGGUUUCUUCGCCCCCCUUGCCAAAA
rnacentral:lncRNA from 1 species